AGCAUAAUCAUUCGCCCUCUAAUUAAGGGAUUGUAUGAACGGGUAAACGUAAAAGGAACUGUCUCCUAUAUGACCUUAAAAAUUAACUUACAGGUGAAGAGGCCUGUAUACCGAUAAAGGACAAAAAGACCCUAUUGAGCUUUAUUUAUUUGAAGUCUUUAUUAAUCAAACCGAACUAAUAAAACCCUUCUUAAAAUUUGGUUGGGGCGACCGAGGAAUUUCAACUACUUCCUUAAAAUUUAAGAAUCUCAAUUCACCCUAAAGAGCCGUUUUUCGAUUCUAGAAUUAAGCUACCAUAGGGAUAACAGGCUAAUCCUUCUUAAGAGUCCACAUUGACAGAAGGGCUUGGCACCUCGAUGUUGGCUUAAGGCCCCCUUAAGGUGUAGCAGCCUUAAAAGGUAGGUUUGUUCAACCUUUAAA
rnacentral:rRNA from 1 species